UAAUGUAUGGGGAUCUGCCGAUAGAGGGGAAUAACUACUGGAACGGUGGCUAAUACCGCAUAAUGUCUACGGACCAAAGCAGGGGCUCUUCGGACCUUGCACUAUCGGAUGAACCCAUAUGGGAUUAGCUAGUAGGUGGGGUAAAGGCUCACCUAGGCGACGAUCUCUAGCUGGUCUGAGAGGAUGAUCAGCCACACUGGGACUGAGACACGGCCCAG
rnacentral:rRNA from 1 species